GACGAACGCUGGCGGCGUGCUUAACACAUGCAAGUCGAACGGAAAGGCCCUUCGGGGUACUUGAGUGGCGAACGGGUGAGUAACACGUGGGUGAUCUGCCCUGCACUUUGGGAUAAGCCUGGGAAACUGGGUCUAAUACCGAAUAGGACCACGCGCUUCAUGGUGUGUGGUGGAAAGCUUUUGCGGUGUGGGAUGGGCCCGCGGCCUAUCAGCUUGUUGGUGGGGUAAUGGCCUACCAAGGCGACGACGGGUAGCCGGCCUGAGAGGGUGACCGGCCACACUGGGACUGAGAUACGGCCCAGACUCCUACGGGAGGCAGCAGUGGGGAAUAUUGCACAAUGGGCGCAAGCCUGAUGCAGCGACGCCGCGUGAGGGAUGACGGCCUUCGGGUUGUAAACCUCUUUCACCAGGGACGAAGCGUAAGUGACGGUACCUGGAGAAGAAGCACCGGCCAACUACGUG
rnacentral:rRNA from 1 species